rnacentral:rRNA from 1 species
UGCCAGCAGCCGCGGUAAUACGAAGGGUGCUAGCGUUGUUCGGAAUUACUGGGCGUAAAGAGCAUGUAUGCGGAUGAAUUAGUCAGAGGUGAAAGCCCCGAGCUCAACUUGGGAACUGCCUUUGAUACUGUUUAUCUAGAGUCCGAGAGAGGUUAGUGGAAUUCCCAGUGUAGAGGUGAAAUUCGUAGAUAUUGGGAAGAACACCGAUGGCGAAGGCAUCUCUCUGGGUCGAUAUUGACGCUGAGGCGCGAAGGCGUGGGUAGCGAACGGGAUUAGAUA